rnacentral:rRNA from 1 species
GACGGAGGAUGCAAGCGUUAUCCGGAAUGAUUGGGCGUAAAGCGUCCGCAGGUGGCAGUUCAAGUCUGCUGUCAAAGACCGGGGCUUAACUUCGGAAAGGCAGUGGAAACUGAACAGCUAGAGUAUGGUAGGGGCAGAGGGAAUUCCCGGUGUAGCGGUGAAAUGCGUAGAGAUCGGGAGGAACACCCGUGGCGAAGGCGGCCAUCUGGACCAGCACUGACGCUGAGGCACGAAAGCGUGGGGAGCAAACAGG